rnacentral:rRNA from 1 species
AUUGAACGCUGGCGGCAGGCUUAACACAUGCAAGUCGAGCGGGGGAAGGUAGCUUGCUACUGGACUUAGCGGCGGACGGGUGAGUAAUGCUUAGGAAUCUGCCUAUUAGUGGGGGACAACAUCUCGAAAGGGAUGCUAAUACCGCAUACGUCCUACGGGAGAAAGCAGGGGAUCUUCGGACCUUGCGCUAAUAGAUGAGCCUAAGUCGGAUUAGCUAGUUGGUGGGGUAAAGGCCUACCAAGGCGACGAUCUGUAGCGGGUCUGAGAGGAUGAUCCGCCACACUGGGACUGAGACACGGCCCAGACUCCUACGGGAGGCAGCAGUGGGGAAUAUUGGACAAUGGGGGGAACCCUGAUCCAGCCAUGCCGCGUGUGUGAAGAAGGCCUUAUGGUUGUAAAGCACUUUAAGCGAGGAGGAGGCUACUUUAGUUAAUACCUAGAGAUAGUGGACGUUACUCGCAGAAUAAGCACCGGCUAACUCUGUGCCAGCAGCCGCGGUAAUACAGAGGGUGCGAGCGUUAAUCGGAUUUACUGGGCGUAAAGCGUGCGUAGGCGGCUUAUUAAGUCGGAUGUGAAAUCCCCG